AUUACGUAGGGAACUAACCCAGCGAAAGUUGGCCUAAUGCCCUAUGUAGUCGUUUGAUCGCCUGAGAUUUCGACGAAAGAUUUAUCGGUAUUGGAUGGGGGAUGCGUCUGAUUAGCUUGUUGGCGGGGUAAAGGCCCCACCAAGGCAACGAUCAGUAGGGGUUCUGAGAGGAAGGUCCCCCACAUUGGAACUGAGACACGGUCCAAACUCCUACGGGAGGCAGCAGUGAGGAAUAUUGGUCAAUGGGCGAGAGCCUGAACCAGCCAAGUAGCGUGCAGGAUGACGGCCCUAUGGGUUGUAAACUGCUUUUAUAUGGGAAUAAAGUGAGGGGACGUGUCCCUUAUUGCAUGUACCAUACGAAUAAAGGACCGGCUAAUUCCGUGCCAGCAGCCGCGGUAAAU
rnacentral:rRNA from 1 species